rnacentral:rRNA from 1 species
GGGUGCAAUCAUACCAACGUUAAUGCACCAGAUCCCAUCAUAACUCAGCAGUUAAGCACGCUUGGGCUAGAGUAGUACUGGGAUGGGUGACCUCCCGGGAAGUCCUAGUGUGGCACCCU